rnacentral:lncRNA from 1 species
UAGGCUUCGCAGGAGUUGAUUUCUUUGUCUUCUUUGUUCCCACUCUCUUAGCUGCAGGCUUUGCAGCUUCACUUUUGUUCACAGACCUUGUCUUUCUCGUGGUGGUCGUGGUCGUGGUCGUGGUAGUGUUUCUUGCUUUUUUGGUUUCUUUAGCUUCCUUAUCUGCUUUACCUUUAGCCUUUGGGACCUUUCCGGUGCCUUUCUCUUUCUUGCCUGCUUCUGAUAGCUUGUAAGAGCCUUUGAUCUUUAUAAGUUUUCCUCUGGAGGUCGAGUUCUUCAAUUGUAAAGCUAAGAUUUUCUUAAAAUUUGCAGGUAGCACCGCCUUGUGCUUCUCUUCCAUGUACUUGGCUAUGGCGUAUGGACUUGAUCCGCCAGUCUUCUCGUCCAAUGCCAACAGAGCUUCCUUGAUCAUCUGAGUAUCCCACAAAAUUAAAAAAGAUUUAAAGCACUACAACUACGUACAAUAAAUUAAUCAAAACAUAUAACACACCUGAAAAUAUGGAGGAUGUGAAGCGGUUUUGGGCUGUUUAG